rnacentral:rRNA from 1 species
AGGAAGAAGCUUGCUUCUUUGCUGACGAGUGGCGGACGGGUGAGUAAUGUCUGGGAAACUGCCUGAUGGAGGGGGAUAACUACUGGAAACGGUAGCUAAUACCGCAUAACGUCGCAAGACCAAAGAGGGGGACCUUCGGGCCUCUUGCCAUCGGAUGUGCCCAGAUGGGAUUAGCUAGUAGGUGGGGUAACGGCUCACCUAGGCGACGAUCCCUAGCUGGUCUGAGAGGAUGACCAGCCACACUGGAACUGAGACACGGUCCAGACUCCUACGGGAGGCAGCAGUGGGGAAUAUUGCACAAUGGGCGCAAGCCUGAUGCAGCCAUGCCGCGUGUAUGAAGAAGGCCUUCGGGUUGUAAAGUACUUUCAGCGGGGAGGAAGGGAGUAAAGUUAAUACCUUUGCUCAUUGACGUUACCCGCAGAAGAAGCACCGGCUAACUCCGUGCCAGCAGCCGCGGUAAUACGGAGGGUGCAAGCGUUAAUCGGAAUUACUGGGCGUAAAGCGCACGCAGGCGGUUUGUUAAGUCAGAUGUGAAAUCCCCGGGCUCAACCUGGGAACUGCAUCUGAUACUGGCAAGCUUGAGUCUCGUAGAGGGGGGUAGAAUUCCAGGUGUAGCGGUGAAAUGCGUAGAGAUCUGGAGGAAUACCGGUGGCGAAGGCGGCCCCCUGGACGAAGACUGACGCUCAAGUGCGAAAGCGUGG